rnacentral:rRNA from 1 species
GAUGAACGCUAGCGACAGGCUUAACACAUGCAAGUCGAGGGGCAGCAUAAAAGUAGCAAUACUUUGGUGGCGACCGGCGCACGGGUGAGUAACGCGUAUGCAACCUACCUAUCAGAGGGGAAUAACCCGGCGAAAGUCGGACUAAUACCGCAUAAAACAGGGGCACCGCAUGGUGAUAUUUGUUAAGAAAUUCGCUGAUAGAUGGGCAUGCGUUCCAUUAGGUAGUUGGUGAGGUAACGGCUCACCAAGCCGACGAUGGAUAGGGGAACUGAGAGGUUGGUCCCCCACACUGGUACUGAGACACGGACCAGACUCCUACGGGAGGCAGCAGUGAGGAAUAUUGGUCAAUGGGCGAGAGCCUGAACCAGCCAAGUCGCGUGAAGGAAGAAGGAUCUAUGGUUCGUAAACUUCUUUUGCAGGGGAAUAAAGUGCGGGACGUGUCCUGUUUUGUAUGUACCCUGAGAAUAAGGAUCGGCUAACUCCGUGCCAGCAGCCGCAGUAA